GCGAUGGCGGAGGGGUUCCACGCGUACCCAUCCCGAACACGACCGUUAAGCCCUCCAGCGCCGAUGGUACUUGGACCGAAGGGUCCUGGGAGAGUAGGACGCCGCCAAGC
rnacentral:rRNA from 1 species